rnacentral:rRNA from 1 species
CGGUAAUUCCAGCUCCAAUAGCGUAUACUAAAGUUGUUGCAGUUAAAAAGCUCGUAGUUGGAUUUCUGCGGGGACGGAGCGGCCGGUCGCAACUUGCGACUCGAGCUAGCGCUUUCCCCGCAUCCUGCCGCGAACCGUGCUACCAUUAGCUUGGUGGCGCUGGGGAUCGGCUCGAUUACUUUGAGAAAAAUAGAGUGUUCAAAGCAGGCCACACGCCUUGAAUAAGUUAGCAUGGAAUAAUGACUAAGGACUUUGGUUCUUUUCGUUGGUGUUCGGGACUGAAGUAAUGAUUGAUAGGGACAGUUGGGGCGGUCCGUAUUCCAAAGCGAGAGGUGAAAUUCUUAGACCUUCGGAAGACGAACAGCUGCGAAAGCGUUCCGCAAGGAUGUUCCCUUUGAUCAAGAACGAAAGUUGGGGGAUCGAAGACGAUCAGAUACCGUCGUAGUCUCAACUAUAAACUAUACCAGCUAGGGAUCGGCCAACGUUUAAUUUAUCGACUUGGUCGGCACCUUAUGAGAAAUCAAAGCAUCUGGGUUCCGGGGGGAGUAUGGUCGCAAGGCUGAAACUUAAAGGAAUUGACGGAAGGGCACCACCAGCCGUGGAGCCUGUGGCUUAAUUUGACUCAACACGGGAAAACUUACCAGGUCCAGACAUAGGAAGGAUUGACAGAUUGAUAGUUCUUUCUUGAUUCUGUGGGUGGUGGUGCAUGGCCGUUUUUAGUCGGUGGAUGUGAUCUGUCUGCUUAAUUGCGUUAACGGACGAGACCCCAGCCUGCUAAAUAGCGCGGCCGAGCUUUGCUCGGUGCGAGCUUCUUAGAGGGACCAUGAUGCGCGAUAGCACAAGGAAGUUUGGGGCAACAACAGGUCUGUGAUGCCCUUAGAUGUUCUGGGCCGCACACGGGCUACACUGGCGCCUGCAACGAGCAUAUCAGCUGGCCCGAGAGGGUCUUGGCUAAUCUUUGGAACCGGCGCCGUGCUUGGGAUUGACCAUUGCAAUUGUUGGUCAUGCAACGAGGAAUGCCUUGUAAACGCGAGUCAUCAGCUCGCAUUGAAUACGUCCCUGCUCCUUGUACACACCGCCCAAGGGCG